rnacentral:tRNA from 1 species
GCCUGGGUAGCUCAGUGGGUUGAGUGUCUGACUUUGGCUCAAGUCAGGCUCUUGCAGCUCAUGGGUUCAAGCCCCAUACUGGGCU